rnacentral:lncRNA from 1 species
UAGUGACCUCUUUCCGGUAGAGACCAAGAACAUGAUUUGUGGUAUCAGUAAUGGCGGGUAUCUCCCAUUUGAUGCCUGUGCUAAUAGUCAAACUGUGCCAGAUCUCAGCAGCUCUCGGCCCUGGCCUGUGGAGUGAGGACAGCCCUUUCCACCCCAGGCCAUUCUGGAUUCCACCAUUUGUCUCUGAGGUGGAAGAACAGGACACAAGACUGUGGCCUGAAUCGAGAGGCAAGCCUGCAGCCUACAGUACCUGUUGCAGGAGCUUGGCUGAGAUGCUCAUUGAGGAUCGUCUUCAUUGUGUCUUCCAAAUGAAUCAAGUGCUGUUUAUAGACCCACUUACCAGAUGGGGAAAUGGAGCUUCAGCAGAAAGAGAGAGAGAGAGAGAGAAAAAAAAGGUGCCCUUUGAAGGUUCUUUGCCUUCAAAGGAAGGCAAGUCGGAAGUCGGAGUAUUUACAAAAGCCUUUGGGCUGCUUCUUCCCCAGCACAGGAACCAAGCAGCAACCUAACAACUGUGCAAAAGGAUCAAGUCAAGUAGAGCAGCCUCUGGCCUCACCGUGGUCCUCACUGUCGCCCCUGACCCGGGUCAUCAGUGUGUGUGUUCCCACUGUUGAUGCAAGCACCAUCUGUUAAGAGUACCCCAGAUUUGCACAUUUACGUGACAGACCUCCAUUCUGCCCUUGCCCCACUUUCUACACCAGGGCAGGGCAGGGCAGCCUGGUGGCUGCUGCUUGCCUAGCCCGUGAGGGAAGACAGGAGAGCACCCAGGUCCCCCCUCCCCGCCUGUGCUUUAAUGACUGCAGUGGGGAAACAGAAUGUCUAACAUUAACAGAGUCAGGAAGUAAGUUCUGCAUUGACAUAGUUGCAACUCUUUUUGUAUUUUCCGAACUUGGGCUGAUUUGAAGCCUGCAGGAUGAGGACACAGGAUCUAGAAGUGCACGAAGGGGUGACAGGCCAACAAUAAAACCAACCACAUAGGAACAACUGGAAGGGAGUCCGGAAAGAGGGAAGCAGAAGCCUGCAGGAUGAGGAGUGAUUUCUGCUCUUGUACAUUUGCAGGAGUCCUGAUUCUUUCAAAUAAACACUCAUUUCACC